GCUAUCCUGAAAAAAAGAAUUUAAAAAAAGGAAGAUAGGUAUAAAAUAAUUGCUUAAGAUCGAGUCCCUCUCCAGGUAUAAACAGCGCAACUGCCCAAUUAGAAAGAACAAACAGAAUGUGUAUAGCUUUAGGCACUAGGGCUGUAUGACUUGACAACUUGCUUUUACCUGGAUUUUGUUCUUUUCCCAUCGCAUGCUGUGCCAACUGGCCACAUCUGGUGAUAACACGGGCAUGAGACCACUUGUCACCAGUGGGGAAAGCACAGAAUGGAAUGCAAUUGGAACUGAAUUGUAAUAUUCUGGCCUGAGAAAUGCCUGUGUGUGUGUUGCCAGGAAUUACCUUGUAUUCAUUGACUGUCCAUGUGCUGCUUGCUGACAGAUGCCCAGCUUUAUUGACAGGUCAGUAGUUUCUUAACUGUUUGUUGCACAGCCCUAGCGCUCUUGUAUAUUAUUUUUUUUUUUUUGCAUUUGACUAAGCAGAAAUUGCAUGAGCUUUCAUCUUGUACAGAUACAUGUCAGUUGUGGUGUGAGAUACUGGAAGUUCACCGGACGUUAAACCUUUGAAGUACAGGCCACACUUCUUGUGAUCAUGUUUUCUCCCCCCCCCCCCCUCAUCCAAUUGAAUAUGCAUUCUAAGCAAGUGUGUAGGAAGGGCUCAGUUGUUGCUGUGCAUGCUCUAGCACACUGGCUUUUUUAAUAUGGACUACAAUAGUUUGCAUGCAUGAAGACUAUUGGUGAACCCUCAUGGCAACCGAAUGAAGGCCAUAGUAUGGAGAAAGGGAACCUAGUAAUGGCUGGGACUGGGGAAUCUGUGCAGUGGACAAAUUCCUAGACACAUGCAAUCAGUCAUAGUACUCUUGUCACGCAACCCGCUCAGGGCUGCUGUUACGUACAAGCUUUUCAGCCCCUCCUUCCCAAACUACUGUGGCUAUACAUGGCCUCAUUCAUGACCAUGUAUUCUCUCUCUUAGAGUUAGAGGCAUGAAGCGAGGGGCCUCCUCAUUUGAUGACCGCGUUUGAUUUCUGUGAAAUCAUGGCCUCGUAGUGUUGCUGCCAUUCAUUGCUGCCGCUACAGAGUGUCACUGUAUUCCAGCUGCUGGGAAAACAAGGAAUACCUGUGUGCAUUGUAGAGACACAAGUGUCUA
rnacentral:lncRNA from 1 species